AUGUCUUGCUGCGGCGGCAACUGCGGGUGCGGCGCCGGCUGCAAGUGCGGCAACGGCUGCGGCGGGUGCAAGAUGUUCCCCGACGUGGAGGCCACCGCCGGCGCCGCCGCCAUGGUCAUGCCCACCGCCUCCCACAAGGGGAGCUCCGGCGGGUUCGAGACGGCCGGGGAGACCGGCGGCUGCGACUGCACCACCUGCAAGUGCGGCACCGCGUGCGGCUGCUCCUGCUGCAGCUGCAACUGA
rnacentral:rRNA from 1 species